rfam:Echinostoma caproni strain Egypt genome assembly, scaffold: ECPE_scaffold0000240
GUUGGUUACGGCGAUAUGAGACCAGUCACAAUGUGGGGCAAAAUUGUGGGCUCGAUGUGUGCCAUUGCUGGUGUUUUGACCAUUGCCUUACCAGUGCCCGUAAUCGUAUCGAAC